rnacentral:rRNA from 1 species
UACGUAGGUGGCAAGCGUUGUCCGGAUUUACUGGGCGUAAAGAGCGCGCAGGCGGUCGUACAAGUCGCGUGUGAAAGCCCCCGGCUUAACUGGGGAGGGUCACGCGAUACUGAUCGACUCGAAGGCAGGAGAGGGUAGUGGAAUUCCCGGUGUAGUGGUGAAAUGCGUAGAUAUCGGGAGGAACACCAGUGGCGAAGGCGACUACCUGGCCUGUUUCUUGACGCUGAGGCGCGAAAGCUAGGGGAGCAAACGGG